CCCUCCGCCAGAGGGCCUGGGAAAGAGCAGCCCAGAGGUUUCUGGGUAUUGUAGUCUCAAAGGGGCAGAGAAACAGGAGGCGCACAUUUUGGUAAAAAGGAGAUUGUGAUACAAAUACCUACGUUCAGGCAUGACUUUAUGGAUAGAAAGCGCCUGUCAUUAUUAAAUGCCCAGUAAAUGCCGGUUGCCAAGGAGACAGCAGUAAACAAGCAGGGGAACAGCCUCGGACGUUGUGUUGGGAGCUCGGGUAGGAAGAAAGUGAACCCUGUUUCUCAUCCUCAGCGUUAUUGACAUUUGGGUCUGAUCUUCCCUUGGGCCCGUGGAAUUAUUCAAAUAAGCCAGUCACAGGAAGCGAGGCUCACCCCGAAAGCCUGCCUCCCAUAGCCCCUCCUGGUUCACUCUGCUUCUGAGCACACCCUCCCUGUGGCCCUGGGUGUCCUCCGCCCAGGCUCUGUCUGGAAACCUCCGUUGUAAUAACCAAUCAGUGUGAAGGUUAAACAGCGUCCUCGUUUCCACCUUGGAAACCAUCCGGGAGUCAGGCACCUGAGCCAUACAGUCCUGUCACUCAGGGCUGGCCUGGUAAUUUCCAGAGGGAAGAGAAGUUUCAGUGCUCAGCAGAAGAAGCGACUGGGAAAAACAAAAUCGUUUUCCACUCAUACUUCAGCUUUCUCCUAACACAGACUGAAGGAACUCAGUGACCUCUAGAUGGAAAAGGCAUGAAUCCACGACUCACCUUCUUCCUUGCAGCCAUUUCUUUCUUCUAAAAAUGAAGAAGGAGAAGGAGGAGGAAGAGGAAGAUAGAAGAAAGGAAGAGUAGAAGGAAGGAGGAGAGAGGGAGGAAUAACAAGGGGAAGAGGAGGAGGAGGAAAGAAAGGAAGAAGACGCAUCAUCAGAGCAAACACAGACAGAAGGUGGCACCAAACAGGAGUCUCCACUUACCGCUUAAUGCCUGGAGGCUCAUCAAACCUAAGGAAGACAACACACAAAUUGAGUUGCAAACGGCAGUGUGAUAAAUGCCUCCAGAUCCACAGGUCAACAAGCUCACCCCAAGCUGCCUCUCCUCUGAAGAGCCCUGCUGGAUUCCCAUUUUCUCAUUGCCUCUCCCUUGGACAUUGAUUCAUGUUGUACUAUAACUAUCUGUCUGUCUCCCCCAUCAGACUAUGAUUUUACGUAGAAGUACAAGCAGAUUAGAUUCAUCUUUGGGUUUCUACUCCCCUGCAUGGUCCUGGCACAUGAAAAAUAUUCUUGCCAAACAAGCUUCCCACCAAAAUCCCAGGGCAUGCGUAGACUGAGAUAUUUACCUAGGAUCUCUGAUGUCACCCGUCCAGAAGGAAAUGUGGUCCGGGAGGCAAGACCAUGGUCAGGGUCGCAGACAAAGUCCAGAAUGUUGAGUCCAAUGGGCCAUGAGAGUUGAGACCAUAGUAGGAAAAAAAUCACUAGAUCAGAAGGUGGGAGAUUGGGAGCCAAGGAAAGCAGAGCCCAGGUGGGUUGUGGUAAGCAGUUAGGACUUAGGGCAGUGACCCGGGGGAGACCGUUGAAAGCCCCAUUGUAUGGGUCCGAGAGGAAAUCUAGUGGCUUAAAGGACUUGCAUUGGACCACAGUUGGGUUGGGAAGGCAGCUACCACUCCUCCAUGUGUGGAGUGUCACCAUGUUGCAGGCACCUUACACACUUCAGACAAAUAAUGCUUCCUUUGUGAAGAAGUUGUGGGAGAUACAUAACCUAAUUCAUGAAAGGUGCUGUUUCCAGUGCCUGGCGCCUGGGAAACUCUUAAUGCAUGUCAGUCAUUGCAGUCACUGUCUCCAUAAUAAAGUUGCCCAUAUCCAUGACUUGAGGAGGGCGUUGGUUCCCAUAGGACACCCCACCUUUUUGAAGGAGAAGAUAAUACAGCUAUUUUUUUUCCAGUCCCUGGGUUAAAAAAAAAUUCUCUGAGAGAUGAUUCAUGGUUAAGAAUGGAUCCCUUAGCAGAGAUAAGAAAGGGAACAAGGCAGAGUGGGGGCAAUUUGAAACAAAGAUCUUACGCUUCAAUACUGUUGAGAUGCGAGCAGCAAGGAGGAGAAAAUCCAGCGGGAGUUAUCAGGCGCCGACAGAAGCAGAGAGGAAAGGAUGAGAAAGCUGUUAAUGCCUUCUUCCUAGCUUAUCCCACCUGCUGGUUCUCAAAAGAGACCCUGCAAGGGAGGGAAAUGGGAGCGUCUCCCAGAUUUCAUGGGAUAGGUUGGGGGGGGAGGGUGAUUCUAGAUACUUCUACUACACUGGUCCCCUUUGGAGACAUAUUUAUCCACAUGGUUGGAAUCCCCAGGUACCCAGUUUCCUUGAGGAUUCAUCCCCCAGAAAUUAGGAGGAUUAUCAGAAGAGGAUCCCCUUAACCCAUUUGUGUCUCGUUAUCUCAUUUCUCUCCUGAGGAGUCAGAAGAGAGAAAGCUUGAGGAAAGUGUAAGAGGACCUCUUGGGUCCUCCUUAUUCAGUAGAGCCUCCCAACAUAUACUCAAACUCAAUACGUCUUUGUUUUCUGGGGCAGGUCCUUGGCUUUUGAGAAUCUGAUAAAAUCUGGGGACCUUCUAUGCAUCUGAGCUCACAUGCCCAGUCAUACCUGCAGCCCAAGACCCACCCGCAUCCCAGACACACCCUCGCGAUUUUCCACGCAAUCUCAGGGGGCGUGUGGACCCCUGAAGCUCAUCCUGAGCCUUCUUCAGUGAUGGGGGCAGUAGAUUGAGACCUCUUUUAGCAGAAGGUUUCUCUCAACCCGGGUCCUAAAUUAAGAAGAACAGUCCAAAGAUUCCCUUCUCUUCCCUGUUUUCUCUUCUUCCCAGCAUCUGAAAACAUCAAAGUUAACCACAGAAAAGGAAAAAUAACUUACUUUUCACUGGAGGGUGCAGCAGAACCGGAAGUCAGGGAGUCAACAUGGAAAAGAGUGAGUGAGAGACUAAAAUCAAAUUAACUCCCACCCCCCCAUACAUUCCGUUAUUCCUUUACUAAAUACUCUUAAAAUUAUUUCUAACUUUUUAUUGUGUAAUAAUUACAGAUUCACAAAAUAUUAUAAAAAUAGUGCAGAGGAGUCCUGUGUACUCAUCACCCAGCGUCCCCCAGUGGUGGCAUCUUGCAUAACCAUAGCAUGUUGUCAAAACCGGUACAUUGACAUUAACUAGACUGUAAACUUUACUCAAAUUUCACUAGUUUUUUCAUGAA